UACAUACUCCCUUCGUCCGGAAAUACUUGUCCUAGAAAUGAAUAUAAUUGAUGUAUCUAUAACUAAAAUAAGUCUAGAUUCAUUUAUUUCUAGGACAAAUAUUUCCGGACGGAGGGAGUAGUAA
rfam:Hordeum vulgare subsp. vulgare, WGS project CAJW01000000 data, contig: morex_contig_276899